GGUAAAAGCAAAAUGAUCAGAGGAGUCACAGAAAUGGCCAUCUGACCUGUCUUCUAAGUGCAAGAUUUGUGAAUUAGUUAUCUCCACAAUGAGUGUAGAAGAUCAGGCUCAAGGACUGUCCCUUCACGAAGCAUCCCUUGCCUGCAUCAUCCUGUGCUCCAUCCAGAGGUGUAUCCUGGUGCCUCUUCACCUUCUAAUCCAGUCCUCCAUGGUCCACUUGACCACACGUCUGGCAACACCUCUCGUUGGGUAAUUUUCCCACUGUCGGGGAGAGAAGAAUGCUCUGCCAGCUUGGAGGGCAGACUUGCUGGAGAAACUUGGGUAAUAACCUCUGCUCUGAUCCAGUUAAAAUUCUUCAUUCCUGUAUGGGGAUUAACAUAAGAAUAAAAAUAAAAUAAAAAAAAAAUUCUUCAUUCCUGUAUGGGGUUUAACAUAAGAAUAAAAAUAAAAUAAAAAAAAAAUUCUUCAUUCCUCCUGGGUGUUUUGUGCUGUUCGCAUCCCAUCAGCUCUGGAUUUUAGAGUUCUGACCUGGAGAAAAUUCUCUGUUCCUGCUUCUGCACUUGCUCAGAGGUCCUUUAUGAAUGAAAUCUUUGCUGUUAUAUUGCCGAGGGGCUGUGCAUUCCUUGAGUCCCCUCUGCACAUGGCUAUGACCUGCCCUAUUUGGUACCAGAUGGUGGCUUCACUGCCCAUUGGCUCGAUAUUGCAAUGCCUCACACCUGCAGGCUCUGUGGUCCCUGGAUGAAUGACUCCAUU